rnacentral:rRNA from 1 species
AGUGAACGCUGGCGGCGUGCUUAACACAUGCAAGUCGAACGAGAACGGAUUAUAGCUUGCUAUAAUUGUCAGCUAAGUGGCGCACGGGUGAGUAAUGUAUAGGUAAUAUGCCUCUUACUAAGGGAUAACAAAUGGAAACGUUUGCUAAUACCUUAUACUCCUUAUUAACAUAAGUUAAUAAGGGAAAGAUUUAUUGGUAAGAGAUUAGCCUGUAUUGUAUCAGUUAGUUGGUGGGGUAAUGGCUUACCAAGACUAUGACACAUAACUGGUUUGAGAGGAUGAUCAGUCACACUGGAACUGGGACACGGUCCAGACUGCUACGGGAGGCAGCAGUGGGGAAUAUUGCACAAUGGACGGAAGUCUGAUGCAGCAACGCCGCGUGGAGGAUGACACAUUUCGGUGCGUAAACUCCUUUUAUAUGAGAAGAUAAUGACGGUAUUAUAUGAAUAAGCACCGGCUAACUCCGUGCCAGCAGCCGCCGUAAUAC